rnacentral:lncRNA from 1 species
UUAUCAGAUGUCUUGACCUUUGAAAUAUGCAUGUAUAAUCAAUGAAAAGAAAAGAAGUACUAGGUUUAGAUCAGAAGUCCUGAAAUCAGUUUUUUGUUUUUUCUUUUUCCUGUUCCCUGCCUCCAACCCCCCUCCCGUGGACCUGUGUAGAGAAGUAUUUUUUGUUGUUGUUUUGGUUUUUUUUUUAAUCAGUUUCUAAUUAUCAUUUUACAGCAAGAACAGAAAUAAAAUACUAUAUAAUUUAAAUAAUGUAAACGCAAACAGGGUUUGAUAGCACUUAAACUAGUUCAUUUCAAAAUUAAGCUUUAGAAUAAUGCGCAAUUUCAUGUUAUGCCUUAAGUCCAAAAAGGUAAACUUUGAAGAUUGUUUGUAUCUUUUUUUAAAAAACAAAACAAAACAAAAAUCCCCAAAAUAUAUAGAAAUGAUGGAGAAGAAAGGCUGUUAUUGCAUUAGGUGUAAGUAAACUGAAGUUUAUGUUAAAUUACAUUGAUUGGAAAAGAAUGAAAAUUUCUUAUUUUUCCAUUGCUGUUCAAUUUAUAGUUUGAAGUGGGUUUUUGACUCCUUGUUUAAUGAAGAAAAAUGCUUGGGGUGGAAGGGACUCGAGAUUUCACCAGAGACUUUUUCUUUUUAAUA